CAGCCGUAAACUAUGCGCGUUAGGUGUAUCGGUGACCACGAGUCACCGAGGUGCCGAAGGGAAACCGUGAAACGUGCCGCCUGGGAAGUACGGUCGCAAGGCUGAAACUUAAAGGAAUUGGCGGGGGAGCACCACAACAGGUGGAGCCUGCGGUUUAAUUGGACUCAACGCCGGACAACUCACCGGGGACGACAGCAAUAUGUAGGCCAGGCUGAAGACCUUGCCUGAAUCGCUGAGAGGAGGUGCAUGGCGUAGACGUCU
rnacentral:rRNA from 1 species